rnacentral:lncRNA from 1 species
ACUCUCGCCCAAGCACGCUUAACUUCGGAGUUCUGAUGGGAUCCGGUGCUUUAGUGCUGGUAUGAUCGCAUCCGACAUACCGUGCGUUCUCCUCCCCUUUAUGCCCGCGCCUCCGUGUACGGUCCGCCCAUAGCUCCUUCGACGGCGCCGCCUAGGAACGCGGAGAAAAUAUGACAAAGGAACGGCCAAAAAUAAAAAGAAAGUCCUUUCUUUUGAAAAAACAAACAAAAAAAAGGUAUGCAACACGAGGACUUCCUAGGAGGUCACCCAUCCUAGUACUACUCUCGCCCAAGCACGCUUAACUUCGGAGUUCUGAUGGGAUCCGGUGCUUUAGUGCUGGUAUGAUCGCAUCCGACAUACCGUGCGUUCUCCUCCCCUUUAUGCCCGCGCCUCCGUGUACGGCCCGCCCAUAGCUCCUUCGACGGCGCCGCCUAGGAACGCGGAGAAAAUAUGACAAAGGAACGGCCAAAAAUAAAAAGAAAGACCUUUCUUUUGAAAAAACAAACAAAAAAAAGGAAUGCAACACGAGGACUUCCCAGGAGGUCACCCAUCCUAGUACUACUCUCGCCCAAGCACGCUUAACUUCGGAGUUCUGAUGGGAUCCGGUGCUUUAGUGCUGGUAUGAUCGCAUCCGACAUACCGUGCGUUCUCCUCCCCUUUAUGCCCGCGCCUCCGUGUACGGCCCGCCCAUAGCUCCUUCGACGGCGCCGCCUAGGAACGCGGAGAAAAUAUGACAAAGGAACGGCCAAAAAUAAAAAGAAAGACCUUUCUUUGAAAAAACAAAGAAAUAAAAGGAAUGCAACACGAGGACUUCCCAGGAGGUCACCCAUCCUAGUACUACUCUCGCCCAAGCACGCUUAACUUCGGAGUUCUGAUGGGAUCCGGUGCUUUAGUGCUGGUAUGAUCGCAUUCGACAUACCGUGCGUUCUCCUCCCCUUUAUGCCCGCGCCUCCGUGUACGGCCCGCCCAUAGCUCCUUCGACGGCGCCGCCUAGGAACGCGGAGAAAAUAUGACAAAGGAACGGCCAAAAAUAAAAAGAAAGACCUUUCUUUUGAAAAAACAAACAAAUAAAAGGAAUGCAACACGAGGACUUCCCAGGAGGUCACCCAUCCUAGUACUACUCUCGCCCAAGCACGCUUAACUUCGGAGUUCUGAUGGGAUCCGGUGCUUUAGUGCUGGUAUGAUCGCAUCCGACAUACCGUGCGUUCUCCUCCCCUUUAUGCCCGCGCCUCCGUGUACGGCCCGCCCAUAGCUCCUUCGACGGCGCCGCCUAGGAACGCGGAGAAAAUAUGACAAAGGAACGGCCAAAAAUAAAAAGAAAGACCUUUCUUUUGAAAAAACAAACGCCUCCGUGUACGGCCCGCCCAUAGCUCCUUCGACGGCGCCGCCUAGGAACGCGGAGAAAAUAUGACAAAGGAACGGCCAAAAAUAAAAAGAAAGACCUUUCUUUUGAAAAAACAAACAAAAAAAAGGAAUGCAACACGAGGACUUCCCAGGAGGUCACCCAUCCUAUUACUACUCUCGCCCAAGCACGCUUAACUUCGGAGUUCUGAUGGGAUCCGGUGCUUUAGUGCUGGUAUGAUCGCAUCCGACAUACCGUGCGUUCUCCUCCCCUUUAUGCCCGCGCCUCCGUGUACGGCCCGCCCAUAGCUCCUUCGACGGCGCCGCCUAGGAACGCGGAGAAAAUAUGACAAAGGAACGGCCAAAAAUAAAAAGAAAGACCUUUCUUUUGAAAAAACAAACAAAAAAAAGGAAUGCAACACGAGGACUUCCCAGGAGGUCACCCAUCCUAGUACUACUCUCGCCCAAGCACGCUUAACUUCGGAGUUCUGAUGGGAUCCGGUGCUUUAGUGCUGGUAUGAUCGCAUCCGACAUACCGUGCGUUCUCCUCCCCUUUAUGCCCGCGCCUCCGUGUACGGCCCGCCCAUAGCUCCUUCGACGGCGCCGCCUAGGAACGCGGAGAAAAUAUGACAAAGGAACGGCCAAAAAUAAAAAGAAAGACCUUUCUUUUGAAAAAACAAACAAAAAAAAGGAAUGCAACACGAGGACUUCCCAGGAGGUCACCCAUCCUAGUACUACUCUCGCCCAAGCACGCUUAACUUCGGAGUUCUGAUGGGAUCCGGUGCUUUAGUGCUGGUAUGAUCGCAUCCGACAUACCGUGCGUUCUCCUCCCCUUUAUGCCCGCGCCUCCGUGUACGGCCCGCCCAUAGCUCCUUCGACGGCGCCGCCUAGGAACGCGGAGAAAAUAUGACAAAGGAACGGCCAAAAAUAAAAAGAAAGACCUUUCUUUUGAAAAAACAAACAAAUAAAAGGAAUGCAACACGAGGACUUCCCAGGAGGUCACCCAUCCUAGUACUACUCUCGCCCAAGCACGCUUAACUUCGGAGUUCUGAUGGGAUCCGGUGCUUUAGUGCUGGUAUGAUCGCAUCCGACAUACCGUGCGUUCUCCUCCCCUUUAUGCCCGCGCCUCCGUGUACGGCCCGCCCAUAGCUCCUUCGACGGCGCCGCCUAGGAACGCGGAGAAAAUAUGACAAAGGAACGGCCAAAAAUAAAAAGAAAGACCUUUCUUUUGAAAAAACAAACAAAUAAAAGGAAUGCAACACGAGGACUUCCCAGGAGGUCACCCAUACUAGUACUACUCUCGCCCAAGCACGCUUAACUUCGGAGUUCUAAUGGGAUCCGGUGCUUUAGUGCUGGUAUGAUCGCAUCCGACAUACCGUGCGUUCUCCUCCCCUUUAUGCCCGCGCCUCCGUGUACGGCCCGCCCAUAGCUCCUUCGACGGCGCCGCCUAGGAACGCGGAGAAAAUAUGACAAAGGAACGGCCAACAAUAANNNNNNNNNNNNNNNNNNNNNNNNNNNNNNNNNNNNNNNNNNNNNNNNNNNNNNNNNNNNNNNNNNNNNNNNNNNNNNNNNNNNNNNNNNNNNNNNNNNNGUCACCCAUCCCAGUACUACUCUCGCCCAAGGCACGCUUAACUUCGGAGUUCUGAUGGGAUCCGGUGCUUUAGUGCUGGUAUGAUCGCAUCCGACAUACCGUGCGUUCUCCUCCCCUUUAUGCCCGCGCCUCCGUGUACGGCCCGCCCAUAGCUCGUUCGACGCCGCCGCCUAGGAACCCGGAGAAAAUAUGACAAAGGAACGGCCAAAAAUCCAAAGAAAGAUCUUUCUUUUGAAAAAACCACCAUAAAAGGAAUGCAACACGAGGACUUCCCAGGAGGUCACCCAUCCUAGUACUACUCUCGCCCAAGCACGCUUAACUUCGGAGUUCUGAUGGGAUCCAGUGCUUUAGUGCUGGUAUGAUCGCAUCCGACAUACCGUGCGUUCUCCUCCCCUUUAUGCCCGCGCCUCCGUGUACGGCCCGCCCAUAGCUCGUUCGACGGCGCCGCCUAGGAACGCGGAGAAAAUAUGACAAAAGAACGGCCAAAAAUAAAAAGAAAGACCUUUCUUUUGAAAAAAGAAACAAAAAAAGGAAUGCAACACGAGGACUUCCCAAGAGGUCACCCAUCCUAGUGCUACUCUCGCCCAAGCACGCUUAACUUCGGAGUUCUGAUGGGAUCCGGUGCUUCAGUGCUGGUAUGAUCGCAUCCGAUAUACCGUGCGUUCUCCUCCCCUUUAUGCCCGCGCCUCCGUGUACGGCCCGCCCAUAGCUCGUUCGACGGCGCCGCCUAGGAACGCGGAGAAACUAUGACAAAGGAACGGCCAAAAAUAAAAAGAAAUACCUUUCUUUUGAAAAAACAAACAAAAAAAGGAAUGCAACACGAGAACUUUCCACGAGGUCACCCAUCCUAGUACUACUCUCGUCCAAACACGCUUAACUUCAGAGUUCUAAUGGGAUCCGGUGCUUUAGUGCUGGUAUGAUCGCAUCCGACAUACCGUGCGUUCUCCUCCCCUUUAUGCCCGCGCCUCCGUGUACGGCCCGCCCAUAGCUCCUUCGACGGCGCCGCCUAGGAACGCGGAGAAAAUAUGACAAAGGAACGGCCAAAAAUAAAAAGAAAGACCUUUCUUUUGAAAAAACAAACAAAAAAAGGAAUGCAACACGAGGACUUCCCAGGAGGUCACCCAUCCUAGUACUACUCUCGCCCAAGCACGCUUAACUUCAAAGUUCUGAUGGGAUCCGGUGCUUUAGUGCUGGUAUGAUCGCAUCCGACAUACCGUGCGUUCUCCUCCCCUUUAUGCCCGCGCCUCCGUGUACGGCCCGCCCAUAGCUCCUUCGACGGCGCCGCCUAGGAACGCGGAGAAAAUAUGACAAAGGAACGGCCAAAAAUAAAAAGAAAGACCUUUCUUUUGAAAAAACAAACAAAAAAAGGAAUGCAACACGAGGACUUCCCAGGAGGUCACCCAUCCUAGUACUACUGUCGCCCAAGCACGCUUAAGUUCGGAGUUCUGAUGGGAUCCGGUGCUUUAGUGCUGGUAUGAUCGCAUCCGACAUGCCGUGCGUUCUCCUCCCCUUUAUGCCCGCGCCUCCGUGUACGGCCCGCCCAUAGCUCCUUCGUCGGCGCCGCCUAGGAACGCGGAGAAAAUAUGACAAAGGAACGGCCAAAAAUAAAAAGAAAGACCUUUCUUUUGAAAAAACAAACGCCUCCGUGUACGGCCCGCCCAUAGCUCCUUCGACGGCGCCGCCUAGGAACGCGGAGAAAAUAUGACAAAGGAACGGCCAAAAAUAAAAAGAAAGACCUUUCUUUUGAAAAAACAAACAAAAAAAAGGAAUGCAACACGAGGACUUCCCAGGAGGUCACCCAUCCUAGUACUACUCUCGCCCAAGCACGCUUAACUUCGGAGUUCUGAUGGGAUCCGGUGCUUUAGUGCUGGUAUGAUCGCAUCCGACAUACCGUGCGUUCUCCUCCCCUUUAUGCCCGCCCCUCCGUGUACGGCCCGCCCAUAGCUCUUUCGACGGCGCCGCCUAGGAACGCGGAGAAAAUAUGACAAAGGAACGGCCAAAAAUAAAAAGAAAGACCUUUCUUUUGAAAAAACAAACGCCUCCGUGUACGGCCCGCCCAUAGCUCCUUCGACGGCGCCGCCUAGGAACGCGGAGAAAAUAUGACAAAGGAACGGCCAAAAAUAAAAAGAAAGACCUUUCUUUUGAAAAAACAAACAAAAAAAAGGAAUGCAACACGAGGACUUCCCAGGAGGUCACCCAUCCUAGUACUACUCUCGCCCAAGCACGCUUAACUUCGGAGUUCUGAUGGGAUCCGGUGCUUUAGUGCUGGUAUGAUCGCAUCCGACAUACCGUGCGUUCUCCUCCCCUUUAUGCCCGCGCCUCCGUGUACGGCCCGCCCAUAGCUCCUUCGACGGCGCCGCCUAGGAACGCGGAGAAAAUAUGACAAAGGAACGGCCAAAAAUAAAAAGAAAGACCUUUCUUUUGAAAAAACAAACAAAAAAAAGGAAUGCAACACGAGGACUUCCCAGGAGGUCACCCAUCCUAGUACUACUCUCGCCCAAGCACGCUUAACUUCGGAGUUCUGAUGGGAUCCGGUGCUUUAGUGCUGGUAUGAUCGCAUCCGACAUACCGUGCGUUCUCCUCCCCUUUAUGCCCGCGCCUCCGUGUACGGCCCGCCCAUAGCUCCUUCGACGGCGCCGCCUAGGAACGCGGAGAAAAUAUGACAAAGGAACGGGCAAAAAUAAAAAGAAAGACCUUUCUUUUGAAAAAACAAACAAAAAAAAGGAAUGCAACACGAGGACUUCCCAGGAGGUCACCCAUCCUAGUACUACUCUCGCCCAAGCACGCUUAACUUCGGAGUUCUGAUGGGAUCCGGUGCUUUAGUGCUGGUAUGAUCGCAUCCGACAUACCGUGCGUUCUCCUCCCCUUUAUGCCCGCGCCUCCGUGUACGGGCCGUCCAUAGCUCCUUCGACGGCGCCGCCUAUGAACGCGGAGAAAAUAUGACAAAGGAACGGCCAACAAUCAUACGAAAGACCUUUCUUUUGAAAAAACAAACAAAAAAAAGGAAUGCGACACGAGGACUUCCCAGGAGGUCACCCAUCCUAGUACUACUCUCGCCCAAGCACGCUUAACUUCGGAGUUCUGAUGGGAUCCGGUGCUUUAGUGCUAGUAUGAUCGCAUUCGACAUACCGUGCGUUCUCCUCCCCUUUAUGCCCGCGCCUCCGUGUACGGCCCGCCCAUAGCUCCUUCGACGGCGCCGCCUAGGAACGCGGAGAAAAUAUGACAAAGGAACGGCCAAAAAUAA